GCACAAGCGGUGGAUGAUGUGGUUUAAUUCGAUGCAACGCGAAAACCUUACCCACCUUUGACAUGUACGGAAUCCUUUAGAGAUAGAGGAGUGCUCGAAAGAGAGCCGGAACACAGGUGCUGCAUGGCUGUCGUCAGCUCGUGUCGUGAGAUGUUGGGUUAAGUCCCGCAACGAGCGCAACCCUUGUCAUUAGUUGCCAUCAUUUGGUUGGGCACUCUAAUGAGACUGCCGGUGACAAACCGGAGGAAGGUGGGGAUGACGUCAAGUCCUCAUGGCCCUUAUGGGUAGGGCUUCACACGUCAUACAAUGGUCGGUACAGAGGGUUGCCAACCCGCGAGGGGGAGCUAAUCCCACAAAGCCGAUCGUAGUCCGGAUCGCAGUCUGCAACUCGACUGCGUGAAGUCGGAAUCGCUAGUAAUCGUGGAUCAGCAUGUCACGGUGAAUACGUUCCCGGGUCUU
rnacentral:rRNA from 1 species